UCUGCUCAGACGAACGCUGGCGGCGUGCCUAAUACAUGCAAGUCGAGCGGACAGAAGGGAGCUUGCUCCCGGAUGUUAGCGGCGGACGAGUGAGUAACACGUGGGUAACCUGCCUGUAAGACUGGGAUAACUCCGGGAAACCGGAGCUAAUACCGGAUAGUUCCUUGAACCGCAUGGUUCAAGGAUGAAAGACGGUUUCGGCUGUCACUUACAGAUGGACCCGCGGCGCAUUAGCUAGUUGGUGGGGUAAUGGCUCACCAAGGCGACGAUGCGUAGCCGACCUGAGAGGGUGAUCGGCCACACUGGGACUGAGACACGGCCCAGACUCCUACGGGAGGCAGCAGUAGGGAAUCUUCCGCAAUGGACGAAAGUCUGACGGAGCAACGCCGCGUGAGUGAUGAAGGUUUUCGGAUCGUAAAGCUCUGUUGUUAGGGAAGAACAAGUGCGAGAGUAACUGCUCGCACCUUGACGGUACCUAACCAGAAAGCCACGGCUAACUACGUGCCAGCAGCCGCGGUAAUACGUAGGUGGCAAGCGUUGUCCGGAAUUAUUGGGCGUAAAGGGCUCGCAGGCGGUUUCUUAAGUCUGAUGUGAAAGCCCCCGGCUCAACCGGGGAGGGUCAUUGGAAACUGGGAAACUUGAGUGCAGAAGAGGAGAGUGGAAUUCCACGUGUAGCGGUGAAAUGCGUAGAGAUGUGGAGGAACACCAGUGGCGAAGGCGACUCUCUGGUCUGUAACUGACGCUGAGGAGCGAAAGCGUGGGGAGCGAACAGGAUUAGAUACCCUGGUAGUCCACGCCGUAAACGAUGAGUGCUAAGUGUUAGGGGGUUUCCGCCCCUUAGUGCUGCUAGCUAAACA
rnacentral:rRNA from 1 species